rnacentral:rRNA from 1 species
AACGCGAAGAACCUUACCAAAUCUUGACAUCCCGAUGACAGGCUGUGUAAAGCAGCUUCUCUUCGGAGCAUCGGUGACAGGUGGUGCAUGGUUGUCGUCAGUUCGUGUCGUGAGAUGUUGGGUUAAGUCCCGCAACGAGCGCAACCCUUGUCUUUAGUAGCCAGCAUUUAGGAUGGGCACUCUAGAGAGACUGCCAGGGAUAACCUGGAGGAAGGUGGGGAUGACGUCAAAUCAUCAUGCCCCUUAUGAUUUGGGCUACACACGUGCUACAAUGGCGUAAACAAAGAGAAGCAAAGGAGUGAUCCGGAGCAAAUCUCAAAAAUAACGUCUCAGUUCGGAUUGUAGUCUGCAACUCGACUACAUGAAGCUGGAAUCGCUAGUAAUCGCAGAUCAGCAACGCUGCGGUGAAUACGUUCCCGGGUCUUGUACACACGC